AGGCCCGUAGCUCAGUGGUAGAGCAUCACCUUGACACGGUGGGGGUCGUCGGUUCGAUACCGACCGGGCCUACCA
rnacentral:tRNA from 1 species